rnacentral:SRP_RNA from 2 species
GCCAGGUGUGGUAGCGCACGCCUGUGGUCCCAGCUGUUCGGGAGGCUGAGGUGGGAGGAUCACUUGAGCCCAGGAGGUGGAGGCUGCAGUGGGCUGAAAUUGUACCACUGCACUCCAGCCUGGGCAACAGAGUGAGACCCUGUCUCAA